GGAAGAAUGCUUGUUUUUAAAAUGUUGAUUAAUGGCUAUAUGAGUGAAAAUAAUGUGCUAAAUACUAUCUUGGAAUUGUUUCAACUGAGCCUAUGUGUUUUGGCAUUUCAAAUAACAGUUUUUACUUCAGUGAAUAUGUAGAUAAGAAUUACUCCCGUAUUAUGUAAAUUAUAUAUUUUAAACCAGACAGGAAGAGUAAUAUAUUAGCAUUAUUAUUGAAUAUUACCAAGACUUAAUUCUGUAAUGUUUUAACAUAAAAGAUUUGUGGUCAUGGUAUACAAGUAAAUGUUUCUGGUGUCAAAUAAAGAGUGAAUAUAAAAAACUGAUUAACUUCCAGUUACUUACGACCUGAUGAUCGAGGUGGGGCUUACCCGUUUGUCUUAUAUUCCUGAACUACCUGUUCCAUCAUUUUUCACCAUGGUACCUCCCUUACAUGAUGGCAGUGGAAAACAAAAUAGGAUUAUUAUCUAAUGCCACAGUGAUGAAGAACCACAGCCUGUUUUUGUGACCAAUACCAAACAGCAAAAUGAUCUUGUUCUACCAUAUGCAUUAUUUGCCAGCACAGGUGAUUUUCUAGUUGUUGUUCAGAAUCUGUAACGGUUUGCUUUUGUUUUCGCACAGUGUUUCUUAUGGAACAAGGGGCGGGGGGUGGGUAGCAAGAAGGUGCUGGAGCCGCAGUUGAACUGUGAGAAGUGGGGAUGGCUUGCUGCGAGGUCCCCUGUGGUCUCACUUGUUCUCAGCAUCGUGUUUGACUCAGUUGCCAGGCAACAAGUGCAGUUGAACAUAGACUCUUCCAGUCUCCACGAAAGCAUCAAGUAACAUUGCUGUGGUUCUCUCCCAUGGUCACUGGUGUCAACAGCUUUUUCGCCCCUGGCAAUAGGUUAAUUCUUCCCUUGAGCUCUUUUAAGGAUUGCGCAGUAAUAGAUUCGGGUGAGUCCAAAAUUGGAGGGGAGUUUUCCUCCCUCUCUGAAAAACAGUGAAUUGCAAAGUGUAUGUGGGGAGAGCUGCCAAAGUUAGAGGUUCGGCUUAGCAAUGCCCCCCUCUUCCUCAUCACCCCCCAACUUCUUUGACCAAUAUCCAGAUCUAGUAAUAACCAGGUCCUUUUAAACUAGGAGCACCUAUGUCGCCACACCUCAUUCUGUCCCGAGUUGGGGAGGGGGCAGAACAUGUCAGAGGAUGAGAAGAAGCUAUGAUAAUGGGUGGGGGGUGCAGGAGAAGGCCAGAAGCUAAAUGAGGUAUGUUUAAUGACUGCUCAGAGUCCCAGGAUAAAUGGGUAGAAAUCAGGGUGUGAUUAUAGGUAGCUCUUUGUUCCUCAAAAGCAA